UCCGGUUUAUCACCGGCAGUCCCACUAGAGUCCCCACCAUGACGUGCUGGCAACAUAGAACGAGGGUUGCGCUCGUUGCGGGACUUAACCCAACAUCUCACGACACGAGCUGACGACAACCAUGCACCACCUGUGCACGGCCCUUACGGACCCCCCAUCUCUGGGAGAUUUCCGUGCAUGUCAAGCCUAGGUAAGGUUCUUCGCGUUGCAUCGAAUUAAGCCACAUGCUCCGCCGCUUGUGCGGGCCCCCGUCAAUUCCUUUGAGUUUUAGCCUUGCGGCCGUACUCCCCAGGCGGGGCACUUAAUGCGUUAGCUACGGCACGGAACCCGUCGAUAGAGUCCCACACCUAGUGCCCAACGUUUACGGCGUGGACUAC
rnacentral:misc_RNA from 1 species